rnacentral:rRNA from 1 species
GAUCCUGGCUCAGAAUCAACGCUGGCGGCGUGCCUAACACAUGCAAGUCGAACGCGGUUAGUAGCAAUACUAACUGAGUGGCGAACGGGUGAGUAACGCGUGGGUGACCUACCUUCGAGUGGGGGAUAACGUCCCGAAAGGGACGCUAAUACCGCAUGACAUCCUGCCUUUGAACAGGCGGAGAUCAAAGCCGGGGAUCGCAAGACCCGGCGCUUGAUGAGGGGCCCGCGUCUGAUUAGCUAGUUGGUGGGGUAAUGGCUCACCAAGGCGACGAUCAGUAUCCGGCCUGAGAGGGCGGACGGACACACUGGGACUGAGACACGGCCCAGACUCCUACGGGAGGCAGCAG